rnacentral:rRNA from 1 species
UCCGCACGCCGUGAGACACUGAACGCCUGCAACGAGAAGUUUCCAAUCCCCGAAAGUGUGGAUGGUAAUCAGCAAUAGGCGUCGUGAUGGGGAUAGAUCUUUGGAAUUAUGGAUCUUGAACGAGGAAUGCAUAGUAAGCGUAGCGUCACUCAACCUACGUUGAUUAAGUCCAAUGCCCUUUGUUACACACCGCCCGUCGCUCAUACCGAUUUCGAGUGGUCCGCGUGAAUCUUUCGGACUGCGCUGGUCUCGUGCUGGUGCGGAAAGUCAGGUAAACCUUAUCACUUAGAGGAAGGAGAAGUGGUAACAAGGAACCA